rnacentral:lncRNA from 1 species
ACGGAGUCUUCUUAUGAAAGAAACACGUCUCCCAAGGCUUUGGCUGCCAUAGGUAGUGAUUCCCGUGGUGACCUGGGCAAAGUCGUCUGAAAAUAUCUGGGAGAGGAUCGCCCCUCUAGCUGCCGUCAGAGCAGGUGUGACUCAUGGAAGAGGUUAAAAUAUCCACUUUAGUGGGAGUUUGGAAGAAACAGAUCCAGAUCGUCCUGGAUGACUUUGAAGGGUUCAAGACGUCAGUGGAGGAAGCAGCUGCAGGUGUGGAGCAAAUAGCAAGAGAACCAGAAAUAGAAGCCUGCAAACGUGACUGAACUGCUGCCAUCUCGUGAUAAAGCCUUAGCAGAUGAGGAGCUGCCUUUUAUGAAUGAGCAAAGGAAGUGGUUUCUUGAGAUGGAAUCAGCUCUGGUGAAGAUGCUGUGAAGAUGUUGAAAUGACAACAACGGACUUAGACUACUCCAUAAACUGAGCUAAGCAGCAUGGGGCUUGAGAGGCUGAGUCCGACUUUGAAAGAAGUUCUAAUGUGGGGAAAACGCAAUCAGCAUUGCGUGCUACAGAGAAAUCGUGCAUGACAGGAAGAGUUAAUGCAUUUGGUAGCCUUCGUCGUGGUCUUAUUUUAAGAAAUUGCCACAGCCAGCCCAGCCUUCAGCAGCCCCCACCCUGAUCCAUCAGCAGCAUCAAUGUGCAGGCAGGACCCUCCACCAGCAAAAAGACUGUGACUCACUAAAGCCUCAGAUGAUUGUUCAACCUCUUUAGCAAGAAAAUAUUUUUUAAAAUUAAGGGUGUCAGUCCCUGCUGCAGGUGCCUGAGGCAGGUCAAGAUGGAAAGGCCAGCUCAGAUUCACCACCACCGAAGUGCCCGAAGCGACGAGAAAGUAUCCCCCACCUUGUAAAUUCGGCUUCACUCCACUUUGAUUUUGCAAAAGAUCUGCAUUAGUACCUGUUUUCACGAACCAAAAGAAAUCCGGGAGGACUUUCACUUUUACAGGAGAAGGGGAGAAGCAGAGCUGGCGUUCAGGGCUGGCUCUGCGGUUAGUCACUAUACCUAUACCGUCAGCGCCACCCCAGGCAGCCCAGUGGCCCGGGCAGUCUCCUUUCCCGGGGGCCAGCCUUGGUGUCAAGCCCCAGAGCUCCAAGCAGCGUCCGUGAGCAUCCGGUUCUCUCUUCAUCGGCGUGAUACGUCCAGGCAGUACGGCACGGCCUCAGACUGGGGAGUAAUUCUAACUCCCGUGACUUCGUCGUGCCUCGAAGUAGAAGUCUAGACAUCUGGAUUUGGACAUCUGGAUUCAUCCCUUGCUGUAUCCUCUAGGUUCUUUAAGGACACCGUCAAAGAUGGUGACCGACGCAGACCCUUGUAAAACGUCACAAGACUGGCAUACUUGUAGGUGAUAAGGACGGAGAAAUAAAACAUAGGAUCUCAGCCCGGCCUUACAGGUGCUGCCCAAAGUCACAACAUCUGGAGCGCAGCCUGGAGCUGAGACGCGGGGGCUCUGCCGUGAGCCUGCUCGGCCCGGCCCCGAGGCUGGGCGCUCUCAUCCGGACCUGCUUUGGUGCAGGAGAGCAGGAUGGCAGCGGCCGGGAGGUUUCGCAUCCAGACUGAGCCAGGGUGAAGGCCUCCGAGCAGCGGCAGUUUCUCCUUCCAGGGGGACCUUCAGCCCCUCCGUCCGCUUUCGGCAGGUGGUGUGUGCAUGGGGAGCACACGUCCCGAGGGCUUGGCUCCGGCUCUGCCAUUGACCGUCCCGUGACCCUGGGCUCUAACUUCUUGCUGAGCCUCCGUUUUCUCUCGGGCAAAAUGCAGGUGCUAAUCAUCCCCACUUCAUGGAUUGCUGGGAUCACAUCUCUGUUGUGGAAAACUUUAGGGUAAACUAAAGUGAGCUAGAGGCAGAACAUCGGGUCUGGGCCGUGUGUCUGCCGAUUGGCUAGUUUAACCUUGAGAAAAACCUCUGCCACUGCCUGCCCGUCUGUUUCCGGUCUCCAAGCCCAGAUCUUUCUCUUCGCAGGCCCCAGACACGCCCCUGGUACAUGGAGAUAUCUCAUACUGGCAAUAAUAUAACAUUUCUUUUAUUUGAUGAUGUUAUUGAAUAAUUUUUUAUUUUUAAUCUAAGCAAACACUUAAGUUUAAAAAAACUAGUAACUAUGAAUCUUAACAUAGAAAUGUUAGCCCCUGCCCGUCUUCCGCCCAGUGCCGAUCCACCACUUCCACUGCUUUUAACUGGUUUAUCUGGAAAUAGCUCUACAUGUCUAAACAGCAUCCUUACUCUACAAGUCUUGAUGAUUUUUAAGUUUUAAUUGUUACCUGUUGACUUCCUAGCAUGGGAAGAAAGGAUUUAACCCUCCCCUCCCGUCAGUCACGGACACAGACACACCCCUCCGCACCCCCCACCCUCCUCUUCCAUCCGUUCUGUAUGCGGAUCGUACGUUUUGGUGGGAUAUUCGGAUGUCACACUGGGUUCACAGUUAAGUCAGAUAACAUGUGUGAUGACACGCAGCUGCACGUCUUUGCGUACACAAAUUGUUUCCCUGAAGGUAAUAAUUGCAUUGCUUUCCUGUUUGCUGAGUGUUCUCCUGGUAUCACUCGUUCGGCCCAGAAUCUUUAUAAAAGUGUCGCAUGUCCUUUCACUGCACCCACACACGUGUGCCAUCUCUCAGCCCCUGGAGCCCAUGUCUCUGGGGGUCCCGCCUCCUUGGUUCCACGCUGGCUGGCCGCUCUCGAGACCCACUGCGUCACCGCAUCCCCGGGCUCCCGGGCCUGGGCUCCGUUCCCGUCCUCCUGGGGAACGCGGCCCCCCCCUCGCUCUGCUGUGGCUUCUCUGCCUCCUGGAUCCCGUGGCUUCUUCCUGCUUGUUUUCCUCCUUCGCUUUGUAGAAGCACGUUGUCCAGUAAUGUCUCCAAAAGAGGAAGGAUGGCUUUUGUUUCUGGAGGGUGCACACCUGAAACGGUCUUUAUUCCACGCUUCCAUGUGGUUGAUUAUUUGAUUGGACACAGAAUUACCAAUACAGCUCAGAAACAUUUUUUCUCCCGAUUUU